UAUGUCAUCCUCAGGACAGAUCCACGGAGGAGCAUUUUAAAGUCCAUCGCAUGUGUAACACCUGAUGGACUCUCCUUCCUUGUUUCCUGUUGUCAGAGUGUACCCCGUAAAUAUAACGGGUAGAGACCUCUGAGAAUAGGGUUAGUUUUACUGCAGAGGGUCUCCGUACAGUCUGACACAGUACUUCUAACGGGGUACAGCUUUGGCUAGUUAACUAGAGCUUGAAUGGAAGGUGCAAAGUCAUUGUUUUCACAGCAGCUGCUGGGAAGAGGUUAAAUUAGCUGAUUUUCCCACUCUUCUGAUUUUAUGAAGCCUGCCGACUUACACUGUACCUCAUAUCUGGUCCUGACAAAACUAUGAAAAGCUUGGUUCUGCAUUUUCUCUUCUGGGAAAAGAAAGAAAAUCUAAUCACUUCUGUGUUGCAUAUGAAUGUAAACACACUUUACUUGUUAUUUUCUCUAACACCCCAACAGCAAAAUGUUUCAGAGUAAUGGGUUCAGUUAAACACAUCUUCCCUGGCACAAAUAUCAUGUUCUCUAAAGACUUUGCUUAGAAAGGCCUACCAGAAACUGUGGAACUAGUUCCCACCACAGUACCAGAUUUUGAGGCAUGCUUUUCUUUUAAUCCAAAACAGAUCUGUGUUGUUUUAUUAUAAUGUCUGAAGCUCCUUAUGAACUCUGGGUUUAAAAAAAAAAUAUGACAUGUGGCUAAUUUAGAAAUGUGAACUAGUGAUUGAAACUCCUAAAUCUGUUAUUGUUGGUGCCUGAAAUAAUAAACCCUUUAGUCUGAAAAUAUUUAAGGUAUUUAAUCCAUUUUCUUUAAUAUCUGCAGAAAGCUGGCAUCAGUGUUUAAAGCAGUGGUCCUCAACCUGUGGUUCCUGGACACCUGAGGCCCGUGAGCCAUAGAUUGUGGGUCAGAGAAGAACAUUUUAAUAAAUCAAUAAAGACCUCGAGCGUACAACUUCUCCAAGAUGAUAUCCUUUAACUGUCAUGGUUCUGUCACGGUUUACUUGGAAUUGGACCCAGAAUGCAGACGAGCAGGCAACGUGAUGGUGGAGCUGUCUGCCAGUAGCAGGAUGCAGUCAGAUUACACCAACUGCAAUAAAAGUUAUUGGACCAGCCAAGGAAGAGACAUCGAAGGUCCAAACGCAAACAGAGUCCAUUCCAAGGUGCUGCUGGUGGCUAGAACAGUGGCUGCUUACCGCAGAUGGCUUCCUAAUCCACCAGAUGAUUCCACUCCUGAGGGACGUCGGCCCAAGCCAACGGGCUAGAGCACUAGGCCUGCUCCAACCAUCACAGGAUGUAAAGAAAGGAGAUCUCCCCAUGAAGGACAACGGCCCACCACAAGAACUGUAAGCUAAUCACUGGAGAGUGAUUGAAGAGGUGGGUGAAGAACACUGUUUUUACAAUGGGCAUAAUAAUCCCUUGCGCAGUGCAACGUUUGCUUUAAAUAAGAUCACGGAUGAGAAGAUGUCUUUUAUCUACCUCAUGUCUCCCAAAUUGAAGAUGUACAGAAGAUGGGACUUUUUGCAUGUUUGUUCUCUGUGUUCAUCAUUGUUAUGUUAUGUUGUUUUUUUCUUUCCAUGUUUUUUUUUUUAUCAAAGCUUAUCAGGUCUGACAGAGCUGUCUCGACAUCAGAACAACUGAGACAGGUAACCGUAAAGGUAACCCUAAGAAUACCACAGUGGCAGCAAGGAUUGACUGGACUCAUGUGUACUGGAAUUCAAAUUCUUGAUUCUAACGAUGUAGAUGUGUGUCGAACACACACACAGUUGACGAUUGGUGAAUCAUUAUUUCAUUUUAUUAUUAUCUUUUUUAUUUUUCUUACUUUAAUAGAUUUUUGAGUGUUCUAAUUCAUUCCUUAAAAUGUUGUUGAUUACAUUAAUUUCCCCCUACAGAGUUAGUUGAUAGGUGUUUUAUACACGUUUUCCAUCUGAAAGAUCGUUUUUUGCCCACACAGAGGUUGACAGUUAUGGUAGUUUUGGAAGUUUUAAUUUGUGAUUUAUAGUAAUCAGUUUUAUUACUAAUUUCUUCCUACCAAUUCAUACAUUUUUAUUCGUUUUUAUUAUUAUUAAUAAUCUUUUUAUUCAUUUUUUAUUACUAAUUUUAUUGUUAAUUUUUAUUAUUAAUCAAUUCACUUUUAUAAUUAAAUUUUCUUAUACUUUCCUUCAUUGUCAUUCAGUAAAAUUUCUUUUAUGGUUUUCUUCAGUGUUCGAUAAUAUAGGAAACAAGUUUCAUUAUGAUCGAAGAGGAUGGAUGGAUUAUCAUGGAAAAUUUUAGUGCCUUGCUUUCUUUUCUACUAGAUACUCUGCAGGAUCUGAUAAAAGUAUUCAAACCCUUCUGUGUUAUUCUCUUCUGCCUCCAGAGUUAGGACAGAUGGUUCUGUUUAGUCUUACAAAGAUGGUUUUUCAACCUUCUCCAAUUCACUUGUAUGAGAUAAGAUGUAUGCCACACUGUAAGGUUCCAUUUCCAUUGUCAACAUGUUUAGGACAACAGGUUUCACCUCAUCUCUCUGGGUCUCAUGAGAGUUACCUUGAAAACUGUUGUAGCUUAUAAGGAGAACCUUUGCUUUGUCUAGUCAGAACGAUUUGGCAGCACUACUGAGCGCAUCUCCAAUGCUGUAAAAAAU